GUUGGCUACUUGUGUUUUUAGGAGA
rnacentral:piRNA from 1 species